rnacentral:rRNA from 1 species
UACGGAGGGGGCUAGCGUUGUUCGGAAUUACUGGGCGUAAAGCGUACGUAGGCGGCUUUGUAAGUUAGAGGUGAAAGCCCGGGGCUCAACUCCGGAAUUGCCUUUAAGACUGCAUCGCUAGAAUUGUGGAGAGGUAAGUGGAAUUCCGAGUGUAGAGGUGAAAUUCGUAGAUAUUCGGAAGAACACCAGUGGCGAAGGCGACUUACUGGACAGAUAUUGACGCUGAGGUGCGAAAGCGUGGGGAGCAAACAGG